rnacentral:rRNA from 1 species
UACGUAGGUGGCAAGCGUUGUCCGGAAUCACUGGGCGUAAAGCGCGCGCAGGCGGCGAUCUACGUCUGGGGUGAAAGGCCCGGAGCCUCGAACUCCGGGACUGCCUUGGAUACGGGGAUCGCUUGAGGAUUGGAGAGGCAAGGGGAAUUCCACGUGUAGCGGUGAAAUGCGUAGAUAUGUGGAGGAACACCUGUGGCGAAGGCGCCUUGCUGGCCAAUUUCUGACGCUGAGGCGCGAAAGCGGUGGGGAGCAAACAGGG